rnacentral:rRNA from 1 species
CAGCUUGUUGGUGGGGUAAUGGCUCACCAAGGCGACGAUCCGUAGCUGGUCUGAGAGGACGAUCAGCCACACUGGGACUGAGACACGGCCCAGACUCCUACGGGAGGCAGCAGUGGGGAAUCUUGCGCAAUGGGCGAAAGCCUGACGCAGCGACGCCGCGUGCGGGAAGAAGGCCUUCGGGUUGUAAACCGCUUUCAGGAGGGACGAAGCCACUCGGGUUAAUAGCCCAGAGGGUGACGGUACCUCCAGAAGAAGCCCCGGCUAACUACGUGCCAGCAGCCGCGGUAAUACGUAGGGGGCUAGCGUUGUCCGGAUUUAUUGGGCGUAAAGAGCGUGUAGGCGGCCAGAUAGGUCUGCUGUGAAAACUCGAGGCUCAACCUCGAGCUGUCGGCGGAAACCAUUUGGCUAGAGUCCGGAAGAGGAAAGUGGAAUUCCUGGUGUAGCGGUGAAAUGCGCAGAUAUCAGGAAGAACACCCGUGGCGAAGGCGGCUUUCUGGGACGGUACUGACGCUGAGACGCGAAAGCGUGGGGAGCGAACAGGAUUAGAUACCCUGGUAGUCCACGCUGUAAA